rnacentral:lncRNA from 1 species
UCAUGGCUUCAAUGCAGUGCUACAAAGAAGAAGGCAAAGAGUUCGAUUACUAUAGUUACGGAAAUCAAAAACCUUCUUAUUCGAGCUCUGGAUAUGAACAAUCUUACUAUGAGAAAGAAAAGUGUUACGAAACCAAACCUGGAAUGAUGGGCUACGGCUCUAGCCAUGGCCAUCAACAUGGUAGCAACCCAUGUGGGCCGAUGAUGGGCCAUAACUCGGGCUAUGGUACGGGCCAUAACGGUACUUCUCAUGGGAUGGGCUAUGGAAUGGGCUACGGUACG